rnacentral:rRNA from 1 species
GAUGAACGCUAGCGGCAGGCCUAACACAUGCAAGUCGAGGGAGGAGCUUUCGGUCUUCGACCGGCGUACGGGUGCGUAACGCGUAUACAAUCUGCCUUUCACUUAGGGAUAGCCCGAAGUAAUUUGGAUUAAUACCUAAUGGUACAUAGAGGUGGCAUCACCUUUAUAUUAAAGCUGAGGCGGUGAAAGAUGAGUAUGCGUUCUAUUAGCUAGUUGGUGAGGUAACGGCUCCCCAAGGCGACGAUAGAUAGGGGUUCUGAGAGGGGUAUCCCCCACACUGGUACUGGGAUACGGACCAGACUCCUACGGGAGGCAGCAGUGAGGAAUAUUGGACAAUGGUCGGAAGACUAAUCCAGCCAUGCCGCGUGCAGGAAGACGGCCUUAUGGAUUAUAAACUGCUUUUGCAGGAGAAGAAUAAGGACUACGCGUAGUUUGAUGACGGUAAUCUGCAAAUAAGCAUCGGCUAACUCCGUG